AUGAUUUUUUGCCAUAAUAAACUUUAAGCUUAACAUUUAAAUUAAACCUGUUUAAAGUAAAUACAUCAUAUAUUAUAUUCAUCCAUAUUCAUUAAAUACAACAUAAACCAGUUCAAUAGGAAAUUAAAUCUGAUUUAUUCACAUUAAGUCUAUUUAAUCGUUUCACUGGAAUUCAUUGGAUCCACCUGAAGCCACUCUUUCAUUCCUGAACCAGCAGACCUCGUGCUGAUAAAUGGACCGAGUUUGGUAUUCUCUCUUUGGAUUUACUUUGUGAAAACCAGGGCAACCUCUUAAUAGUUUGUGUGAAUGUGGGAGUGUAAACUUUGUGACAUAUCACCAGUAUCAAGCAGGUAUUGAGCUCAGCGUUAUUCUUGUAAUUUAGUGCUCUUCAGAUCACACUAACAGUUGCCUCUGGAUCAAUCUCAAUCUCCACACACACACACACACACACACAGGAGAUUGUACUAAUUUGUACAACUGUCAAUAAAUGUAUUUGUUUUUUAUUUAUUUUCCAAAUUCCUUUCCAGGCUCCUUGUUGUCGUAAUAAAUAUGGAUAAUUGCUCUAAUGUAUGUCCUACCUUCUUAUUUCUUCGCAAAAUGAUAUUUAACUUGUGUUUUUGUAAACAGUGAUUGUUGUAGCUGAAUUUCAGCAGAAUACGAAAACUGAGGUACAGUGAAGACUAUUUAAGCCCAAAAGUUAAAAUGUAUGCAUUUCAAUUACAUGACAAUUUUCCAUCUAUUUUGAUCACAUAACUCCAAUGUAAAAAAUGACAUUUCAAUCCAUGUUUAUUAAUCAUGUUCAUGUAAUCUAACCAAAUACAUUGGGUUUAUGCAUAAUACCUGAGUAAGUCCAAUUUAAUUGAUUAAUGUUGAGUUUAUCUAAUUUAUUCAUGUUGAAUGAACAUGAUUAAUAAACAUGGAUUGAAAUGUCAUUUUUUACAUUGGAGUUAUGUGAUCAAAAUAGAUGGAAAAUUGUCAUGUAAUUGAAAUGCAUACAUUUUAACUUUUGGGCUUAAAUAUUUU